rnacentral:rRNA from 1 species
GCUGACUAUACAACCAAUCACAAACAUAUAUUUACCCACCAAACAAACCAUUUGAUAAACCUAGUAGUUGUGAUCGAACAGUAAACAGUCAAAACAAAGUACCGCAAGGGAAACCCCCCAAGCAACUAACAGCAAAGAUUAACCCUUGUACCUUUUGCAUCAUGGUUUAGCAAGAUAAUCAGGGCAAGAAGACUCACAGCCCCUUCCCCGAAACCGGAUGAGCUAUUUUCAAGCAGUCUAAUGGACCCAUCCGUCUCUGUAGCAAAAGAGUGGAAAGACUUAAAAAUAGAAGUGAAACGCUUACCGAAUCCGGAGAUAGCUGGCUACCCCAAAUAGAAUCUAAGUUCUACUUUAGAUUAAAAUUAUACCUAGUUAUUAACUAAAGUAAAUCAAUAGAGGUACAGCCCUAUUGAUACAGGAUACAACCUUAAUUUGAAAGAUAAUUUUUCUACCUCCUCCCCGUAGGCCUUAAAGCAGCUACCCAUAAAAAUAUCGUCAAAGAAUUACUCAAUAUAAACCCAUAAUUAAAACCACCCUUCAAAAUCACUAAAGGUGAACCUACCUAAGUAGGUACCAUUAUGCUAAAACUAAUAAUAUGACUACAUCUCUCAACGCAUCCCUCCACUAGACACAGAAAAUCUACUAGUCAUUAACAGACCAUAAGAGGUAAAAAACCAACCAAUAUCCACCUUUAAUACAACUGUGACCCCAACACAGGGGCGUUAAAAAGAAAGAUUAACCGUUAUAAAAGGAACUCGGCAACCAUGGACUCCAACUGUUUAACAAAAACAUUACCUUUAGCUAAAACAAAUAUUAAAGGCAACGCCUGCCCAGUGAAUAAUUAAACGGCCGCGGUAUCCUAACCGUGCAAAGGUAGCAUAAUCAUUUGUCUAUUAAUCGUAGACUCGUAUGAAUGGCAAAAUGAGAGCCCGACUGUCUCUUAUAACAAAUCAAUUAAACUGAUCUCUCAGUACAAAAGCUGAGAUUCUCACAUAAGACCAGAAGACCCUGUGAAGCUUUAACUAAACUAUUAAACCCCUUAAUAACUAUGUUUCGGUUGGGGCGACCUUGGAACAAAAAAGAACUUCCAAAUACAUGACCUUCUCACACCAAGGCAAACAAGCCACAUUUAGACCCAGAACUUUCUGAUAAAUGAACCAAGUUACUCCAGGGAUAACAGCGCUAUCUUCUUCAAGAGCCCAUAUCAAAAAGAAGGUUUACGACCUCGAUGUUGGAUCAGGACAUCCUAGCAAUGCAACCGUUACUAAGGGUUCGUUUGUUCAACGAUUAAUAGUCCUACGUGAUCUGAGUUCAGACCGGAGCAAUCCAGGUCAGUCUCUAUCUAUGAAUAGCCAUACCUAGUACGAAAGGACCGGCAUAGCAAAGCCUAUACUCAAAGCACGCUUUAACCACAAAAUAUAAUUAAAUAUUAAACCAUUUAACACCAUAACCUAGACCAGGUUAAUUAAGGACCAUACCCUUA